GUCAAGUAUAAGGCAAUUAUACCGCGAAACUGCGAAUGGCUCAUUAUAUAAGUUAUCGUUUAUUUGAUAAUACUUUACUACUUGGAUAACCGUGGUAAUUCUAGAGCUAAUACAUGCUGAAAAUCCCGACUUCGGAAGGGAUGUAUUUAUUAGAUUAAAAACCAAUGCCCCUCGGGGCUCUCUGGUGAAUCAUAAUAACUAGUCGAAUCGACAGGCCUUGUGCCGGCGAUGGCUCAUUCAAAUUUCUUCCCUAUCAACUUUCGAUGUUUGGGUAUUGGCCAAACAUGGUGGCAACGGGUAACGGAGGGUUAGGGCUCGACCCCGGAGAAGGAGCCUGAGAAACGGCUACUACAUCCAAGGAAGGCAGCAGGCGCGCAAAUUACCCAAUCCCGACACGGGGAGGUAGUGACAAUAAAUACUGAUACAGGGCUCUUUUGGGUCUUGUAAUCGGAAUGAGUACAAUUUAAAUCCCUUAACGAGGAACAAUUGGAGGGCAAGUCUGGUGCCAGCAGCCGCGGUAAUUCCAGCUCCAAUAGCGUAUAUUAAAGUUGUUGUGGUUAAAAAGCUCGUAGUUGAACCUUGGGCCUGGCUGGCCGGUCCGCCUCACCGCGUGCACUGGUCCGGCCGGGCCUUUCCCUCUGCGGAACCCCAUGCCCUUCACUGGGUGUGGCGGGGAAACAGGACUUUUACUUUGAAAAAAUUAGAGUGCUCAAGGCAGGCCUAUGCUCGAAUACAUUAGCAUGGAAUAAUAGAAUAGGACGUGUGGUUCUAUUUUGUUGGUUUCUAGGACCGCCGUAAUGAUUAAUAGGGACAGUCGGGGGCAUCAGUAUUCAAUUGUCAGAGGUGAAAUUCUUGGAUUUAUUGAAGACUAACUACUGCGAAAGCAUUUGCCAAGGAUGUUUUCAUUAAUCAGGAACGAAAGUUAGGGGAUCGAAGACGAUCAGAUACCGUCGUAGUCUUAACCAUAAACUAUGCCGACUAGGGAUCGGACGAUGUUACAUUUUUGACGCGUUCGGCACCUUACGAGAAAUCAAAGUGCUGGCUCCAGGGAGUAU
rnacentral:rRNA from 1 species